rnacentral:rRNA from 1 species
GACGAACGCUGGCGGCGUGCUUAACACAUGCAAGUCGUACGGUAAGGCCCUUUCGGGGGUACACGAGUGGCGAACGGGUGAGUAACACGUGAGUAACCUGCCCACAACUUUGGGAUAACGCUAGGAAACUGGUGCUAAUACUGGAUAUGUGCUCCUGCUGCAUGGUGGGGGUUGGAAAGCUCCGGCGGUUGUGGAUGGACUCGCGGCCUAUCAGCUUGUUGGUGGGGUAGUGGCCUACCAAGGCGGCGACGGGUAGCCGGCCUGAGGGGGUGACCGGCCACAUUGGGACUGAGAUACGGCCCAGACUCCUACGGGAGGCAGCAGUGGGGAAUAUUGCACAAUGGGCGCAAGCCGGAUGCAGCAACGCCGCGUGCGGGAUGACGGCCUUCGGGUUGUAAACCGCUUUCAGCAGGGACGAAGCUUUUUGUGACGGUACCUGCAGAAGAAGCACCGGCUAACUACGUG